CCUACGGGUGGUGCAGUGGGGAAUAUUGCACAAUGGGCGCAAGCCUGAUGCAGCCAUGCCGCGUGUGUGAAGAAGGCCUUCGGGUUGUAAAGCACUUUCAGCGGGGAGGAAGGCGUUAAGGUUAAUAACCUUGGCGAUUGACGUUACCCGCAGAAGAAGCACCGGCUAACUCCGUGCCAGCAGCCGCGGUAAUACGGAGGGUGCAAGCGUUAAUCGGAAUUACUGGGCGUAAAGCGCACGCAGGCGGUCUGUCAAGUCGGAUGUGAAAUCCCCGGGCUCAACCUGGGAACUGCAUUCGAAACUGGCAGGCUAGAGUCUUGUAGAGGGGGGUAGAAUUCCAGGUGUAGCGGUGAAAUGCGUAGAGAUCUGGAGGAACACCGGUGGCGAAGGCGGCCCCCUGGACAAAGACUGACGCUCAGGUGCGAAAGCGUGGGGAGCAAACAGGAUUAGAUACCCGAGUAGUC
rnacentral:rRNA from 1 species